UAUGUGAUCGUCUCUCGCAUAUCAAUAAGCGGAGGAAAAGAAACUAACAAGGAUUCCCCUAGUAACGGCGAGUGAAGCGGGAAGAGCUCAAAUUUGAAAUCUUAAAGGGUUUCCCUUUACGAAUUGUAGUUUAAGGAAGUGUUUUCUGUUGAGGUUUUGGUAAAAGUUCUUUGGAAUAGGACAUCAUAGAGGGUGAGAAUCCCGUAUUUGACCUUUACUUUCAACUUUGUGAUACACUUUCAAAGGGUCGGAUUGUUUGGGAAUGCAGUCCAAAAUGGGUGGUAAACUUCAUCUAAAGCUAAAUAUUGGCGAGAGACCGAUAGCGAACAAGUACCGUGAGGGAAGGAUGAAAAGAACUUUGAAAAGAGAGUUAAACAGCUACGUGAAAUUGUCAAAAGGGAAGCGUUUGACACCAGUGUUGUUUUUCUGAAAAUCAAUUAAAGGACUGUUUAUGCUAAGUUGUUUAGACUUUAUCAGCUAACUGUUUAGUUUUGAGCUUUUCUUUAAUGCACUUUCCAGUUAACAAGUCAACAUCAAUUUCUUUUGCUGUAAAAAAGCUUGAGGAAGGUGGCUUGAGAUUCGUCUUAAGUGUUUAUAGCCUCUUGCCUAUGCAGUCGGAGAGAUUGAGGUCUGCAGCGUAGAUCCUUCGGGGCUAAAUGCAUUUGUGCUAAGUUAUAGCAUUUUAUAGACAACUUGUUGACUAUGAUUUGUCUUGUAGCUUACUCGCUUAUGUUAUUUUACCUACGCUUAGGAUGUUGAAGAUAUGCGCGACACG
rnacentral:rRNA from 1 species